GAUGAACGCUGGCGGCGUGCUUAACACAUGCAAGUCGAACGAUGAAAGCGGGAGCUUGCUCCUGCUGGAUUAGUGGCGAACGGGUGAGUAACACGUGAGCAAUCUGCCCCGAACUCUGGGAUAAGCGUUGGAAACGACGUCUAAUACCGGAUACGACGCGCGAAGGCAUCUUCUGCGCGUGGAAAGAACUUCGGUGCGGGAUGAGCUCGCGGCCUAUCGGCGAGUUGGGGAGGUAACGGCCCACCAAGGCGACGACGGGUAGCCGGCCUGAGGGGGUGACCGGCCACACUGGGACUGAGACACGGCCCAGCCUCCUACGGGAGGCAGCAGUGGGGAAUCUUGGACAAUGGGCGCAAGCCUGAUCCAGCCAUGCCGCGUGAGUGAAGAAGGCCUUAGGGUUGUAAAGCUCUUUUGGCAGGGACGAUAAUGACGGUACCUGCAGAAUAAGCCCCGGCAAACUUUGUGCCAGCAGCCGCCGUAAGAC
rnacentral:rRNA from 1 species